CCCUUAGAUGUUCUGGGCUGCACGCGCGCUACACUGAUGCGCUCAACGAGUUUAUGACCUUGCCCGGAAGGGUUGGGUAAUCUUCUUAAAACGCAUCGUGAUGGGGAUAGAUUAUUGCAAUUAUUAAUCUUCAACGAGGAAUUCCUAGUAAGCGCGAGUCAUCAGCUCGUGCUGAUUACGUCCCUGCCCUUUGUACACACCGCCCGUCGCUCCUACCGAUUGGGUGAGCCGAUGAAACUCUCGGAUGUAGGCUAUUCAUAGCCCGCAGAAGAGAUUUGAAUCGUAGCGCUUAGAGGAAGGAGAAGUCGUAACA
rnacentral:rRNA from 1 species